GGCUAACGCUGGCGGCGUGUCUUAGCCAUGCAAGUCGAGCGGACUUAUGGGGUAACUUAUAAGUCAGCGGCGGACGGCGGAGUAACACGUAGCUAACCUACCCUCUGGACGGGGGAUAACCUACCGAAAGGUGGGCUAAUACCCGAUGUAGUCAUCCUGUAUAGGGGUGAUGAAAGGUGGGCUUCUGUUUACAAGCUCAUGCUGGAGGAGGGGGCUGCGGCCUAUCAGGUAGUUGGUAGGGUAAUAGCCUACCAAAGCCGAUGACGGGUAGCCGGCCUGAGAGGGUGACCGGCCCGAGGGGCACUGAGAUACGGGUCCCACUCCUACGGGAGGCAGCAGGCUAGAAAUUUGGGCAAUGGGGGAAACCCUGACCCAGUGACGCCGCGUGCAGGAAGGAGCCCUUCGGGGUGUAAACUGCUGUCGUGUAGGGAGAAGGGUACUAAGGUGAACAAUCUUAGUACUUGACGGUACUACAGGAGGAAGCCCAGGCUAACCUCGUG
rnacentral:rRNA from 1 species